rnacentral:lncRNA from 1 species
GACAUCUUCAGUGUGGGCCUGGUGGUCUGCCCGGCCUCCUCCCCGCGCUCCCCCACCUCGUCCCCGCCACCUGUGCUGGCCCCGGUCGGCCUGCUCGGCGGCCUGCUCUCCGACUCUUCGGCGGCGCCCGCGGGUGGGGGGACGCCUCCUGUGGUUGUCCCCCCCACUCCGGCUUCGCCUCCCCCCGUCGUCGUCUCCUCCCCGCAGCCUGACGCUCCUCCGGCCCCGUCGUCUCCACGGGCUCCCUCGAAGGCCUGCUCUCCGGACCCAGUGCGCCUCCUCCCCCUCUGGCCGCACCAUCACCACCGGCCCAGAUCUUCCUCGGCUGUGCUGGGUCGGGACUGCUGCCCUCCCCUCCGUCGUCUCCUGGGGUGGGGGCGGCCCGGAUCAUCACACCUCUGGCGGCCCAGCCCCCCUCUCCCCGGUCUGCCGCCUACUCCCGUCGCAGUCGGUCUGCCUCCUCCCCGGUGGUGGCCUCCCGCCGGAGUGCUCGGUUGGACGCUGCCCAUCCCUGAGCGGGCGGAGCUCCGCGCUGCCGCCCGUAACCUGGAGCCAGGUACGCCCUCCAUUCCCCCCUCUGCUUCGUCUUGUUCUUUCUCUGCGCUUGAGUCUGUUCCGCUGGGUCAUCUCGCCAAAGUGGCCUCCGACUCCGCGAUCAUUUUCCGAGGGGAAGUUGGCCCCCCUCUCGCCCAGAUCGCGGCCAUCAGAGCCCGUGAGGUUCUCGAUGGGAAACUUGCGAAGGCCCGGGCGGCCCUCCUCGUUCCCCCAGCCGCCUCUACAUCUGGGGGAUCUUCCUCUCCGCCUCGGCCGCAGCCGACGGCCCCUCCUCCCUCGGUGGCCGUGCCAGAGAUUCGGGGACGCACCCGCUCCCGCACGGCGGCCCUUCGUGCGCUUAGCGCUUCCUGUGUUCUGGGGUCAAGCAGCCCUCCAAUGGCUCCUUAAUGCGGGCCCUCUUCUGGAACAUCCGCGGCUUCGGCCAUGAUGGCCGCCGCCGCCAGUUAGUGGAAUACAUGCGAGAUGAGCACAUCGACAUCGUGGCUGUGCAAGAGACCAUGCGUCGCGAUUUUGCGCUCCCUGAGCUUGACCGGCUGAGCUCUCACCUCUUUGCGUGGCACUGGCUCCCUUCUAGUGGGAGCGCGGGCCACUCGGGUGGCAUCCUUUUAGGUGUGAAGGAUGCCACCUUUGAGGUGGGCAGCAUGGAUAGGGGCGAAUUCUUCGUCAGCAUGGAGCUUUUCGAGAGGUUGCUCAACUUCAAGUGGGAGAUCAUCAUUGUCUAUGGACCGGCCGAUCAUAGUAGGUCGGCCUCCUUCUUGGAGGAGCUCCACCGGAAAAUCUCGGCCGCCUCCCUCCCCGUGGUUGUCGGGGGCGACUUCAACCUGCUACGCGUUGCGGAGGACAAGAACAACGGCAAUGUUUGCUCUGCCCGGAUGGACAUGUUUAACGACUUCAUUGCCGACCUCGCCCUCCGGGAGAUUGAUCGGGUUGGGGCCUGUUUUACUUGGACCAACCGACAAGCCUCCCUGACCCUGUCCGUCUUGGACAGGGUCCUAGUUUCCCCGGAAUGGGACCUCCGAUGCCCCCUAGCCUCUCUUCGCACCAUCACCCGGAUUGGUUCCGACCACGUCCCCUUGCUCCUCUCCUCCGCGGACGAGCGUCCGCCGAUCCCCCCUCGGUUCCGGUUUGAGACCUUCUGGCUUUCCCAGGCCGGGUUUACCGACGCCGUCUGUGCUCGGUGGAUCGAGGCUCGGGCCCACCCCCACCCUCGCCCCCUUUUGCUAUUGACGCGUGGCACUUCUGUGCGAAGCGUGGCCGGCAAUUUAUGAAGGGCUGGGGGGCGAACCUAGGCCGUGACGCCAGGGAGCGUAAGAAGGCGUUGCUCACCGCGAUCCAGGCCCUUGACUUUCGGGCUGACGCGGUGGGUCUCUCCCCGGACGAGUGGCUCUCCCGCUAUGACCUCGAAGACCAGCUCUCCGUGAUUUACACCGAUGAGGAAGCCUAUUGGCGCCUUUGGGGCGCUCAGCGUUGGGUCCUGAAGGGUGACGCGAAUACGGCUUACUUCCAGGCGAUUGCCAACGGGCGCCGUAGACGCAACACCAUUCCCUGCCUUUGGGAUGGGGUAACCCUCCUCCAGGACCCCCGGGACAUCCGCUCCCAUGUCGACGGCUUCUAUCGUUCCCUCUUCUCUCCCGCUCCUCGGAGCGGCAUCUCCCUCGCCCCUGAUUGUUGGGCCGGCGCCCAACUUGUCUCUGACGCAGAGAACGCGUCCCUGACGGCCCCCUUCUCUGAGCAGGAGGUCUGGGAGGCCAUCAAGGGUAUGAACUCCUCCUCUGCUCCGGGCCCGGAUGGUCUUCCGGUCAUUUUCUUCCAGACCUUCUGGAACGUGAUUAAACCAGAGGUCAUGGCCAUCUUUGAUGAAUUCUUCGUGGGAUCUAUUGACCUAGGCCGCCUCAACUUCGGGACCAUCUCCCUCAUCCCCAAGGUCCCUGGGGCGACUGACAUCCGCCAGUUCCGCCCGAUUACGGUCAUUAACGUGAUCUUCCGGAUCCUGGCCAAGGGGUACGCCAAUAGGGUGACCCUGCUUGCAGAUCGGAUUACCCACCCUAACCAAUCAGCAUUCAUUAAGGGUCGGUACAUCCUGGAUGGUGUCCUGGUGCUUCAUGAGGUUCUUCAUGAGGUCCGGGUCAAGCGCCUGAAGGCGGUCUUUCUGAAGAUCGAUUUUCACAAAGCCUAUGAUACGGUUAGCUGGUCCUUCCUUAGGGAAGUCCUUCUUCGGAAGGGCUUUGACGACCGGUGGAUCACGAGAGUCAUGCAAAUGGUCUCUUGCGGUCGCACGGCGGUAAGCAUCAACGGCGAGAUCGGUCCCUUCUUCCCUACCCUAUGUGGGGUGCGCCAAGGCGACCCCUUCUCCCCGUUCCUCUUCAAUAUGGUCGUGGGCGCUUUGGCCUCCAUUCUCGAUAAGGCUAAAGCCGCGGGCCACAUCCGAGGUAUUACCCCCCACCUCUCUGGGGGCUCGGGAAUCUCCAUCCUCCAGUAUGCUGACGACACGAUCAUCAUGGUCGAAGGCUCGGAGAUGGACAUCACCAACCUCAAGUUCCUCCUUCUUUGCUUCCAACAGAUGUCGGGCCUCAAGAUCAACUUUGAUAAGAGCGAUGUUAUGGUGAUGGGAUAUUCCCCCGCUGAGUCUGUGGCCAUUGCCAACAGACUUAAUUGCCGCCUGGGCUCUUUCCCCACUACCUACCUUGGGACGCCCAUUAGUGACUCGCGCCUCUCUGUCACAGACCUACGCCCCUCCGUGACCAAGCUCCAGACCAGAUGCGAGCCCUGGCAGGGGAGGUGGCUUUCCAAGGCGGCCCAGACUAUCCUUAUCAACUCCUCCCUCUCCAGCCUCCUCUUGUUUCUUAUGAGUUUCUACAGCCUCCAUGAAUCUCUCCAUAAGGAGAUCGCCAAAAUCUAGUCCCGAUUCUUCUGGGCUGGCGAGCAUGGCAAGCAGAAGUAUCACAUGGUCAGCUGGCCUGACAUCUGCAAGCCCAAGGAGCAGGGUGGAUUGGGCAUCAUGUGCUCUAAACGGAUGAAUAUUGCCCUUCUAUCCCGGUGGCUGUGGCGUAUCACCCAGGGUCAUGGUGGCCUCUGGCUGGACAUUAUCCGGAAUAAGUACCUGCGUGGUCAACCCCUUGCCUUCUGCCAGAAAUCGGGAGGUUCUCAGUUCUGGCAGUCCCUCAUCCAGCUUCUUCCGGUGCUCCGCAUUGGUACCUCUAUCUCGGUGGGGUCCGGCCUCUCGACGCUCUUCUGGUUUGAUCGCUGGGCCGGCGACUCUCCCUUUGCAGCCCGCUUCCCCACCCUCUUCUCUAUCGCUGUCGUCCCCAUGAUCUCUGUUGAUAGGGCCCUUCUUGACUUAGGGCGCCUCGCUUUCCGUCGGUCAUUUGGGCCGGCGGAAUCCACCGCCUGGCGUGAGUUGCUUGACUGCGUUGCUCUGCAUGAGCCGGUGGUGGAUGGGGAUCAGGAUCUUGUGCGCUGGCACCUGGAGCCGUCGGGCCAGUUCUCUACCAAAUCGCUAUACUUGGCCAUUGCCCCCUCCUCCGCUCCCCUCCCCCUAUCGAUGGUGUGGUCCGUCCCCGUCCCCCUGAAGAUUCGCAUCUUCAUGUGGCAGUGGAUCCGUGGACGGAUCCCGUCCGGUGUGGAGGUCCGCAAGCGUAAUCGCCCGGGCACUGGUAUCUGCCCCCUCUGUGCUGUUCCCGAGGACUCCAACCACAUCUUCUUCGCCUGCUUCUCCGCCCGGUUCCUCUGGAGCUGCUUUCGCGAGAUUGUCGGUGGGAGUUGGUGCCACACCAUUUUCCCGGACUUAUUUGCUGAACUCCAAUUGUCCCCUUCAUCCUCUCGCCACAUUAGGUGGCUCGAGGUUGGGGUCCUUGCCUGGACGCUUUGGACCGUUCGCAAUAAGCUAGUGAUCCAGCGUACUCCUCUUCGUCGCGCUACUGAUGCUCUCUACAAAUUCUCGGGUUUCUUGCAGCUUUGGCGGCCGCUUAGCCGCCCCCUGGAUCGGGACGCCAUCUCUGCCUUCAUCGCCGAUCUCCGCUCGAUGGCCGUCCGCCUGUCGCCCCCGCCGCCGCCGCCUCCGCCGGAGCCUGACUAGAUCGCCUGCACUGGGCAGGCUUUGUUUUUUCUCUUUCUUCUGGGCUUGUUGAGCUGUGCCCUCAGCAGAACCUUAAUACUUUGUUGUGGUACUUGGGUGGUGUGUGUGUGUGGACCUGUUGUGGUUGUAUGUCUUGUGGCGGUUUGCUUUAUUUAUAAAGCGGGCGGAAAGCCUUUUUCGGUAAUUACAAUAUAAGCAUAAUGCGUCAAG